UUAGCUUUGGACGUUUUUCUCUUUUUAAGCAAAAUAAUGCUUGAAUUCGUCAACUCGGCUUGACGAUUCACAGUCCAAAGCGAGACCAUAAUAUUAUCAGUAUUUGCCCGACUAUUUGACUGUCUCGGGUGAGGAAAUAUUUCGAGCGGUUUGCGUCUCGGCUAAGCAAAGUGGUAUACUGUUUCAGUGAGUGCAGUAAUGGCUCCUGAAACUAGAUAGCUCUUUUUCAACCAUUUGCUCGAUCCUGGGAAGGCGCCAAAUUGAUAUCGCCAUUUGAAUCUUUGUACAUAAACAGCAAUUGUCCUUCAAGGUUUCUUGAAGGUAGAAAUCCUUAAGCUCGUUCAUUUUCGCUCGCACUAGAGGAAGAGAAGUAUCGCGGUUUCCAAGUUCCGAAGAAUUUAAAGUAUUUCUACAAAAGUGAAACGUGUUCCUUCAAAGUUUGCAGAAGAUAGCUGCCUAUUUCGGUCAGUGCGUCUGACAAUUUUGCGAUUCUCUCCAUUUGCCGGAGCAGAUAUAGAGACAAAGAAAGCGCGUAGGCGCUUUUUUUGUACGGGCUGGAAUUUUGUGACGACCAGCGGAGUCGAAUUGGGGUUCCGUCCUUUUUUGCUGUGGGUCGCGGUGCGACCAAAUUGAGCUUGUGUGUCCGCUAAGGCCCGCCUUCCGAGGUAGUCAAACGGAGGGGAGUGCAGUUCGUGAGAUAGUCGAGCGAAAUUCACCCGA